rnacentral:rRNA from 1 species
GACGAACGCUGGCGGCGUGCUUAACACAUGCAAGUCGAACGGUAAGGCUCCAGCUUGCUGGGGUACACGAGUGGCGAACGGGUGAGUAACACGUGGGUGACCUGCCCUGCACUUCGGGAUAAGCCUGGGAAACUGGGUCUAAUACCGGAUAGGACCAUGAGGUGGAUACUGUGGUGGAAAGUUUUUUCGGUGUGGGAUGGGCCCGCGGCCUAUCAGCUUGUUGGUGGGGUAGUGGCCUACCAAGGCGGCGACGGGUAGCCGGCCUGAGAGGGUGGACGGCCACAUUGGGACUGAGACACGGCCCAGACUCCUACGGGAGGCAGCAGUGGGGAAUAUUGCACAAUGGGCGGAAGCCUGAUGCAGCGACGCCGCGUGGGGGAUGACGGCCUUCGGGUUGUAAACUCCUUUCACCAUCGACGAAGGGUUUCUGACGGUAGAUGGAGAAGAAGCACCGGCUAACUACGUG